GAUGAAGAACGCAGCAAAAUGCGAUAAGUAAUGUGAAUUGCAGAAUUCAGUGAAUCAUCGAAUCUUUGAACGCACAUUGCGCCCGCCAGUAUUCUGGCGGGCAUGCCUGUUCGAGCGUCAUUUCAACCCUCAAGCACAGCUUGGUGUUGGGACUCGCGUUAAUUCGCGUUCCUCAAAUUGAUUGGCGGUCACGUCGAGCUUCCAUAGCGUAGUAGUAAAACCCUCGUUACUGGUAAUCGUCGCGGCCACGCCGUUAAACCCCAACUUCUGAAUGUUGACCUCGGAUCAGGUAGGAAUACCCGCUGAACUUAAGCAUAUCAAUAAGCCGAGGA
rnacentral:misc_RNA from 1 species